AUUGAACGCUGGCGGCAGGCCUAACACAUGCAAGUCGAGCGGAUGGCGGGAGCUUGCUCCUUGAUUCAGCGGCGGACGGGUGAGUAAUGCCUAGGAAUCUGCCUGGUAGUGGGGGACAACGUUUCGAAAGGAACGCUAAUACCGCAUACGUCCUACGGGAGAAAGCAGGGGACCUUCGGGCCUUGCGCUAUCUGAUGAGCCUAGGUCGGAUUAGCUUGUUGGUGAGGUAAUGGCUCACCAAGGCGACGAUCCGUAACUGGUCUGAGAGGAUGGUCAGUCACACUGGAACUGAGACACGGUCCAGAAUCCGACGGGAGGCAGCAGUGGGGAAUAUUGGACAAUGGGCGAAAGCCUGAUCCAGCCAUGCCGCGUGUGUGAAGAAGGUCUUCGGAUUGUAAAGCACUUUAAGUUGGGAGGAAGGGUUGUAGAUUAAUACUCUGCAAUUUUGACGUUACCGACAGAAUAAGCACCGGCUAACUCUGUGCCAGCCGCCGCAGUAA
rnacentral:rRNA from 1 species